rnacentral:misc_RNA from 1 species
GGGAAAUCAGGGUUGUUCUUCAACCAUUCAGCUCGCUGUUGAUCCCAAUCAGAGAUUUUAGGGCCAAGACUGUAGGGUUUACUCGGAUCGGGCUUCUCAUCCUCACCUUCAUCCACCAAAAUCUUCGAAAUAUCGAAUGUAGCAUAAUUAUUGGACUGGUCCGCGGGCUUGGUAGUAGUUUCCGGCUGAGCCUCUUCGAGAACACGCCGAGGCUCAACGCGGCGGCCGCGAGAGGAGAAAUGGUUACGGAUCUCGUUGAAGUCCUGCUCGGGAGUACCGAACUUGCCAGCGCCGACAGUGCCACGGAGGACAACGACGGUGAGGAAGAGACAUAGGACGGUGACGGCGCUGUGGCGGAAGGCCCUCUGGAUCCGGCGGAGGCGGGUGGGUCCGAGAAUACGCUCAAUCAUGAUUCUCAGACACCGGCGAGAGGAAUGGAAGAAGGGAUGAAAAUGAAGAAGGAAUGGGAAUGGAGAAUUGGAAAUUGGAUCUGGAAGGUGGAAUCGACAGAGAAGAG